rnacentral:tRNA from 1 species
GUCCUUGUAACUCAGUUGGAUAGAGUAUCCGCCUCCUAAGCGGAAAGUCGGAGGUUCAAAUCCUCUCAAGGACG